AUUGAACGCUGGUGGCAGGCUUAACACAUGCAAGUCGAGCGAGCGGCGGACGGGUGAGUAAUGUCUGGGAAACCGCAUGCUGGAGGGGGAUAACUACUGGAAACGGUAGCUAAUACCGCAUACCAUCAGAUGUGCCCCGAUGUGAUUGGCUAGUAGGUGGGGUAAUGGCUCACCUAGGCGAAGAUCCCUAGGUGGUCUGAGAGGAUGACCAGCAACGCGUGAACUGAGACACUGACCCGACUCCUACGGGAGGCAGCGGUGAGGCAUAUUGCACAGUGGGCGCAAGCCUGUUGCAGCCAAGCCGGGUGUGUGAAGAGGGCCGUCGGGGUGUAAAGCACGUUCAGCGAGGAGGCGUUACCCGCAGAAGAAGCACCGGCUAACUCCGUGCCAGCAGCCGCGGUAAUUC
rnacentral:rRNA from 1 species